rnacentral:lncRNA from 1 species
UGUUUAGUUGUUGGAUUGUGGACUUGAAUUAUACGAGUUGUGUGUUAAUAGAAUAUAUUGUCGUUUUGCCUAUAUGUUACUAUUUGUGGUGAUAGAAAAUAAUAUUAGAAUUGUUAUUAUUAUAAUAUUAACUUUAACCUAGCCCUCGAAGGAUGACAUGUAGUUCGAAGGAUUCGAAGGACCACGAAGGAUAACCUUCGACCCCGAAACAUAUCCUUCGAGCACGAAACAUAUCCUUCGAUAUGUUUCGGCCCAGUCCUUCCAAUGGGCUUGGCCCAUUUCUGUAAUACGUAUAAGUACGUAUCAACAUGUACCGGCUGUCAUUUUCUAUCAUAUUCCCAACCCUAGAGCUCUCCAAACUGUGACGGCAAGCUAGUAACCACAGGAGACCCUUGCGACCAAACCCUCAUUUCGGUUAGUAAAAUCUAUUUGAUUCGAUCGUUCGUUUAUGCGUAUGUGUUCACGUGUAGUGUGUUCUUGAUUGUUGAUGUAACCUGAACUGAUACAUGCCUGAAUAUUAUGAUUUUGAAUACGAUGGAAUAUCGAUAUAGAUUUCACAUAGGGUUUGAUGAUGUGUUAAUGUGCGUUAACCGGUUUCGUGAUACGUUUAAACUAGGUUCAUGCUAGACAAUGAUUUCUGGAUGAUUGCGUUAUGAUUAGAUGUGCUAAAUGAUUCUGAUGAUUUGGUAAUGAUGAUGAUGACGGCUGUAUAGAUGAUUAGGGUUGCUGUUCCUGUGAAAACAUCGUUAGGUAGUGUCGAAAGAUGCUUGUAGUCGAAACAUAGCAUUGACCGAAGGAUAGAUAUGACCGAAACAUAAUUAAGUUGACCGAAAGAUACCUUAGGUCGAAAGAUGACUGAUGGUACGAAACAUACCAACUAGUCCGAAAGAUAACUGUGAAAACUUGUAAGUGUCGAAAGAUCACUGAUGUGUCGAAAGUUAGCAGUGGAUCGAAGGAUAGUAGCAAUUAUAAACAUCCUUCGAAGGAUGGAAUGUAUACAUGAACUAUUUGACAUGCCAUGCUUGAUGAUGAAUGUUUACAUUUGUAAUUGUGUGCACUAGCUGAUGAGUAACUAGGAAAUGGUACGUGUGCGCCGACGUACAAACUGACUGUUACGUGAACAUUGUAUUGCAUGCGAAUCAUUGCGAACAUGAACUGAUUUGUUAUACGUGCAUACACUAGGACGUGAUUAAUUACUUGUGAGUGCAUA